rnacentral:rRNA from 1 species
UCCUGCAGCCGCGCCGCCGUGGACUGUGAUCCCCUUAGACCUCACAAGCUAAACAGGGCUGGGCUGGUUCAGCGCUUGGAUGGGAGUCCUCCAUGGAACAGCUAGGGUCACAGUGA